rnacentral:rRNA from 1 species
GAUGAACGCUAGCGGCAGGCUUAACACAUGCAAGUCGAGGGGCAGCAUAGAAGUUAGCAAUAACUUUUGAUGGCGACCGGCGCACGGGUGCGUAACGCGUAUGCAACCUACCUUAAACAGGGGGAUAAUUCGGAGAAAUCUGGUCUAAUACCCCAUAAUAUACUUAACGGCAUCGUUAGGUGUUGAAAACUCCGGUGGCUUAAGCUGGGCAUGCGUUGUAUUAGCCAGUUGGUAAGGUAAUGGCUUACCAAGGCAACGAUACAUAGGGGGACUGAGAGGUUAACCCCCCACACUGGUACUGAGACACGGACCAGACUCCUACGGGAGGCAGCAGUGAGGAAUAUUGGUCAAUGGACGCAAGUCUGAACCAGCCAUGCCGCGUGCAGGAAGACGGCUCUAUGAGUUGUAAACUGCUUUUGCAGGAGGGUAAACCCGGGCACGUGUACCCGGUUGAAAGUACCCUGCGAAUAAGGACCGGCUAACUCCGUGCCAGCAGCCGCGGUAA